UAGAUAUCAUAUAGAAGACUAGAUGCCCUAUUGGCCGCUGGGGACUGAGAAAUACGGCGGCCAUCUUAAACCGGUCGUUCUCCUAGUUUCGUUGCAUGGCAGCAGAUAAGAUGUCAGAGCACUGUGGAGCAUUUUCCUGUUCUAAUCGGCGGACGAUCGCAAAUAGAGCCCGGAGGAUUAUUUUCACAAGUACUUUUUAACAUCGCGGUACUAUUGGUUGUAUUUUGUGAAUAGAAUAUUACCAGAAAAUUGAGAAAGAGCCAGCUUAUUGAUUUUACUGUACUGAAAUCGUAGCCAGCUAACGUUCGCUAGGCUAUGUUUACUGCACCAGCCGCUGUUCACCCUGCAAGGAGAGUGGGGUGCUGUGAGCUGCGUGAUCCGCCGAGCUUUAAAAAGCUGAGAUGUCAACAGGAACAGAGGAUGUUUUCCUUCGUAGGGAGGACAUUGAGGAGACUCAGUUUGGAAUCGACAACUAUCAGUCUGACUCGUUGUCACUGGUUGUGUCUGUGUUUUUAAAGAUAAGGCUCCACCAUGUUGCCAAACUCACCUCUCUUGAACUACAGAAAGGGAGCACGGGAAAGAAGCUCUGGAAAACAGUCCUCUUUCAGGGGUGUGUGUGUGUGUGCGUGCGUGCGUGCGUGCGUGCGUGCGCGUGUGUGUGGGGGGGUUUACAAAUCAUUUUAAAUUGUUUCUUCACCAUAUUAAAAAGUCUUAUUUUAUUGCAACUAUCUGUUUCUGCAUCUUUGUCAUAUUUAUAGUGUGUGAUUUAUAAAAUAUCUUAUGUCCUACACCA